ACGCUGGCGGCGUGCCUAAUACAUGCAAGUCGAACGAGAGCGACCGGUGCUUGCACUGGUCAAUCUAGUGGCGAACGGGUGAGUAACACGUGGGUAACCUGCCCAUCAGAGGGGGAUAACAUUCGGAAACGGAUGCUAAAACCGCAUAGGUCUUCGAACCGCAUGGUUUGAAGAGGAAAAGAGGCGCAAGCUUCUGCUGAUGGAUGGACCCGCGGUGCAUUAGCUAGUUGGUGAGGUAACGGCUCACCAAGGCCGUGAUGCAUAGCCGACCUGAGAGGGUGAUCGGCCACAUUGGGACUGAGACACGGCCCAAACUCCUACGGGAGGCAGCAGUAGGGAAUCUUCCGCAAUGGACGCAAGUCUGACGGAGCAACGCCGCGUGAGUGAAGAAGGUUUUCGGAUCGUAAAACUCUGUUGUUAGAGAAGAACAAGUGCUAGAGUAACUGUUAGCGCCUUGACGGUAUCUAACCAGAAAGCCACGGCUAACUACGUGCCAGCAGCCGCGGUAAUACGUAGGUGGCAAGCGUUGUCCGGAUUUAUUGGGCGUAAAGCGAGCGCAGGCGGUUCCUUAAGUCUUAUGUGAAAGCCCCCGGCUCAACCGGGGAGGGUCAUUGGAAACUGGGGAACUUGAGUGCAGAAGAGGAGAGUGGAAUUCCAUGUGUAGCGGUGAAAUGCGUAGAUAUAUGGAGGAACACCAGUGGCGAACGCGACUCUCUGGUCUGUAACUGACGCUGAGGCUCGAAAGCGUGGGUAGCAAACAGGAUUAGAUACCCUAGUAGUCCACGCCGUAAACGAUGAGUGCUAAGUGUUGGAGGGUUUCCGCCCUUCAGUGCUGCAGUUAACGCAUUAAGCACUCCGCCUGGGGAGUACGACCGCAAGGUUGAAACUCAAAGGAAUUGACGGGGACCCGCACAA
rnacentral:rRNA from 1 species